rnacentral:rRNA from 1 species
GAUGAACGCUGGCGGCGUGCCUAAUACAUGCAAGUCGAGCGAACUUUUGGGAGCUUGCUUCCAAAAGUUAGCGGCGGACGGGUGAGUAACACGUGGGUAACCUGCCUGUAAGACUGGGAUAACUUCUGGAAACCGGAGCUAAUAUCCGAUAACAUUUAAGACCACAUGGCCUUCAAUUAAAAGAUGGCUUUUAGCUAUCACUUACAGAUGGACCCGCGGCGCAUUAGCUAGUUGGUGAGGUAACGGCUCACCAAGGCGACGAUGCGUAGCCGACCUGAGAGAGUGAGCGGCGACACAGUGGAUGUGACACGGCCCAGAGACCUACGCGAGACAGAAGUGUGGAAUCUCCUGCGAUAUACGAGAGUCUGACGGGGAGACACGGCGUGAGAGAAGAGGACGUCCUGGUCGUAUAACUCUGUGGUAAGAGAAGAAAAAAAAUCGGUCAAAAAGGACGGUACCUUGGAGGGACCUAACCAGAAAAGCACGGCUAAAUUCGGG